AAAUUCAUGCUAAAAUAUAAAAAUCAAUUCAAAUCCGCAUUAAAAGUUUGAAAAUGUCCCAAAAUAGGGAAAAUUAAAAUUCUUUUCAAAUUUUGAAUGGGGUUUUCAAUCCAUUUUUUAUAAUUUUUGUUUCAAAUCCGAACAAAGUCUGGAUUUACAUCUAUAAGUAUGAGUAUUCUUCAUUCUAUGAAGAGGGAGGAUUUUGGGGGGAAAUUUGGAGGUUCUGGAGGCACAUGAUUCUAACCUCACGUAACCAAAUUCUCGAGGAACACUCGCAAAAAAUCAAAAUGACGAAUUUGUUUAAAUUUUUGUGGAGGAAAAUCGAGUUUUGAUUGUGGAAGUUUCAUCAUUAUAAGUUUGUUUGCCUCAGUCCUCUACCUCGAAAAAAGGUUAAAACCCUCAUAUUUUGUUCAUUUGAUUUCAGUUAAUGCAGUGUUAGACCUUGUUGUUGAAGUAUUUUUUUUUAGAUUAUAGUAUUUUCUUUAGUCUGAUGG
rnacentral:lncRNA from 1 species